rnacentral:rRNA from 1 species
UGGGGAAUUUUGGACAAUGGGGGCAACCCUGAUCCAGCAAUGCCGCGUGUGUGAAGAAGGCCUUCGGGUUGUAAAGCACUUUUGUCCGGAAAGAAAUCGCACUUACUAAUAUUAGGUGUGGAUGACGGUACCGGAAGAAUAAGGACCGGCUAACUACGUGCCAGCAGCCGCGGUAAUACGCAGGGUCCAAGCGUUAAUCGGAAUUACUGGGCGUAAAGCGUGCGCAGGCGGUUGUGCAAGACCGAUGUGAAAUCCCCGGGCUUAACCUGGGAAUUGCAUUGGUGACUGCACGGCUAGAGUGUGUCAGAGGGGGGUAGAAUUCCACGUGUAGCAGUGAAAUGCGUAGAGAUGUGGAGGAAUACCGAUGGCGAAGGCAGCCCCCUGGGAUAACACUGACGCUCAUGCACGAAAGCGUGGGGAGCAAACAG